rnacentral:rRNA from 1 species
UGCAGUCGAACGAUGAUUCUUCCCAGCUUGCUAGGAGGAAUAGAUUAGUGGCGGACGGGUGAGUAACAUUUAGGAAUCUGCCUAGUAGUGGGGGAUAGCUCGGGGAAACUCGAAUUAAUACCGCAUACGACCUACGGGUGAAAGGGGGCGCAAGCUCUUGCUAUUAGAUGAGCCUAAAUCAGAUUAGCUAGUUGGUGGGGUAAAGGCCCACCAAGGCGACGAUCUGUAACUGGUCUGAGAGGAUGAUCAGUCACACCGGAACUGAGACACGGUCCGGACUCCUACGGGAGGCAGCAGUGGGGAAUAUUGGACAAUGGGGGCAACCCUGAUCCAGCCAUGCCGCGUGUGUGAAGAAGGCCUUUUGGUUGUAAAGCACUUUAAGCAGGGAGGAGAGGCUAAUGGUUAAUACCCAUUAGAUUAGACGUUACCUGCAGAAUAAGCACCGGCUAACUCUGUGCCAGCAGCCGCGGUAAUACAGAGGGUGCGAGCGUUAAUCGGAAUUACUGGGCGUAAAGCGAGUGUAGGUGGCUCAUUAAGUCACAUGUGAAAUCCCCGGGCUUAACCUGGGAACUGCAUGUGAUACUGGUGGUGCUAGAAUAUGUGAGAGGGAAGUAGAAUUCCAGGUGUAGCGGUGAAAUGCGUAGAGAUCUGGAGGAAUACCGAUGGCGAAGGCAGCUUCCUGGCAUAAUAUUGACACUGAGAUUCGAAAGCGUGGGUAGCAAACAGGAUUAGAUACCCUGGUAGUCCACGCCGUAAACGAUGUCUACUAGCCGUUGGGGUCCUUGAGACUUUAGUGGCGCAGUUAACGCGAUAAGUAGACCGCCUGGGGAGUACGGCCGCAAGGUUAAAACUCAAAUGAAUUGACGGGGGCCCGCACAAGCGGUGGAGCAUGUGGUUUAAUUCGAUGCAACGCGAAGAACCUUACCUGGUCUUGACAUAGUGAGAAUCCUGCAGAGAUGCGGGAGUGCCUUCGGGAAUUCACAUACAGGUGCUGCAUGGCUGUCGUCAGCUCGUGUCGUGAGAUGUUGGGUUAAGUCCCGCAACGAGCGCAACCCUUUUCCUUAUUUGCCAGCGGGUUAAGCCGGGAACUUUAAGGAUACUGCCAGUGACAAACUGGAGGAAGGCGGGGACGACGUCAAGUCAUCAUGGCCCUUACGACCAGGGCUACACACGUGCUACAAUGGUAGGUACAGAGGGUUGCUACACAGCGAUGUGAUGCUAAUCUCAAAAAGCCUAUCGUAGUCCGGAUUGGAGUCUGCAACUCGACUCCAUGAAGUCGGAAUCGCUAGUAAUCGCAGAUCAGAAUGCUGCGGUGAAUACGUUCCCGGGCCUUGUACACACCGCCCGUCACACCAUGGGAGUCUAUUGCACCAGAAGUAGGUAGCCUAACG